rnacentral:misc_RNA from 1 species
CGAGAGUUGAAAAACUCCCAACCCUUUGUUUACCUACCUGUGGAAUCGUGCUUCGGCAGGCAGCCCCGUGGGACGGAGCCUCGCCUUCUUUCGAAGGUGCCUGCCGCUGGCCAGACACAAAACUCUGUUAUACUAGUUACUAUCUGAGUCUUAUACAAAUAAUCA